AGCAGCCGCGGUAAUUCCAGCUCCAAUAGCGUAUAUUAAAGUUGUUGCAGUUAAAAAGCUCGUAGUUGAACCUUAGGCCCGUGCGGGCGGUCCGUCCUCAGGGCGAGCACUGCCUCGUCGCGGGUCUCACCUUCUGGCGAGCGUGGAUGCCAUUUAUUUGGUGUCUGCGGGAACCAGGACCUUUACCUUGAAAAAAUUAGAGUGCUCAAAGCGGGCUCAGACGCUUGAAUACAUUAGCAUGGAAUAAUGAAAUAGGACGAUGGUUCUAUUUUGUUGGUUUCCGGGACCGUCGUAAUGAUUAAUAGGGAUAGUUGGGGGCAUUCGUAUUCAAUUGUCAGAGGUGAAAUUCUUGGAUUUAUUGAAGACGAACUACUGCGAAAGCAUUUGCCAAGGAUGUUUUCAUUAAUCAAGAACGAAAGUUGGGGGAUCGAAGACGAUCAGAUACCGUCGUAGUCUCAACCAUAAACUAUGCCGACUGGGAAUCGGGCGAUGUUAUUUUUCGUGACUCGCUCGGCGCCCC
rnacentral:rRNA from 1 species